AGAUAAUGUCUAAAAUUAUUCUAAAUUAGUAAUUUCGAUUAACUAAGUUGUUGCAAAUUAAUGCUUUCAAUUAACUUAUGCUGCAGUACAAUAUAUGUGCUGUCUAUAAGAGGUAGAGAAAAACAAAGAUUAAUUAAAUUCCCAAUAUAAGUUUAGAAGAAGUAUUGCAAAAAACUACAUGUGCCUUCAUGGGCACCUACCUCAAGAAAACCCCACUAAAUUAGCUAACUAGCCAGAAAAAAUAAACUGAGAAGUGAAUCUGCAGGACGCCUUAAUAGGUGUAUACUGUGCACAGUUCCUUCGUGUUUUAAUCAGAAAGAUCACUUCUUGUUGCUGAAACUAAAGCUGCAGUUGCUGGUAUCUAAAUACUGAUGAUUGCUGUCUAUGUAAGUAGAAAAAACAUCUAACUGUGCCUUCAUGGGCAACUGCUACUGCUAAAAUUCUGAGUUAGCUAUUAGUCGGAAAAGAAAGCCCUGAUAAGCAUACAACAAACCCCGAAAAACUUUAGUAAAAAUAAUUGCUAUACCGAGCGGUUCCAAUUAACCCCACUUCAAAUGUAUAAAAAUCAAUAUUAAAUUCAAAUUAAGGUGGUUUGAGAAGAGGGAGCAAUCUCCCAAAGAAACCCCGACGCGCGUUUCGCCAGUAAGGUCCCUUUGAAAAGCCGCCUUACUGGCAAAACGCGCGUCGUUUUGAUGCCAGUCUCCUGGGAUGGGGAGCAGACUUGAACAACUCGUGGAUUCAAGGAACAUGGUCAUGGAAGGAGUCAAAACUUCAUUUGAAUUUAAGAGAAAUGAGAGCAGUUCUCAGGGCGCUAAAGGGGUUCCAUCAUCUCCUGAGGAAUGCUUGGGUGAGAAUACAUACAGACAACAGAGCGGUCGCAUCUUAUAUAAAUCAUCAGGGAGGCACCCGAAGCUAUUCUCUUCUGAUGGAACUAUCUCCUAUAAUGAAGUUUGCGCAACGCCAUUUACAAGGGUUGAAAGCUGUUUACCUUCCAGGGCCAGAAAAUUUAUUAUCAGAUUAUCUCAGCUGAACAAGGACUCUCCAGGGAGAGUGGAAGUUACAUCCGGACGUAUUUCAGUUGAUUACCCUGAGUACCCCAGAUCGAUCUUAUGGCAUCAUACAACAAUACCCAGGUAGAAAAGUAUUACUCUCUACAUGCGGAUCCUCGAGUAGCAGGACAGGAUGCUCUUUCCUUUACAUGGAAAUUCGACCUGGGGUACGCAUUCACUCCCCUACCUAUGAUUUACAGACUACUAAGAAAGAUAUGGAAAGAAGGUCUGAAGGUAAUUGCCAUCAUCCCAAUUUGGCCUCGCAGACCUUGGUUUCCUCUCCUGAACAAGAUGAGCCUGGAACCUCCUUGGCCUCUUCCUCACAGACCAGACAUCUUGACCCAGGGACCAGCUGUUCAUCCGAACCCCAACCAGCUGAAAUUGGGGGCACGGCUCUUGAAAAGGAGAGACUUCUAGCUCAAUGCAUUUCUGAGCCUGUGGUUAAUACCCUCCUCAAAUCCAGAAAAGGGUCGACUUCUUCUUGCUACCAUACGUUGUUCCUGGUCUCUAGCUAACAACGUUGAUUUCCUGCAGCCCUCUAACAUCAAUAUUCUAAAUUUUCUUCAUACAGGCCUGGAAAAAGGGCUGAGCCUUAGUACUCUGAAAGUCCAAUCAUCAGCUUUAUCUGCCCUCUGCAACAAGUCAUGGGCAUCUGAUCCUAUUAUUGCCAGAUUCUUUAAAGCAACAAUUCGCAUAAGACCUCCGAAAAGGAAUUAUUCUCCGCCUUGGAAUUUAUCUAUGGUAUUAGAGGUUUUGUCUGAAAACCCCUUUGCUCCUUUAGAUGAGCUGGGUAUUGUCUUACUAACAUAUAAGACCUUGUUUUUGGUGGCUAUAACUACAGCAAAACGCAUGUCAGAAAUCCAUGCAUUCUCUUGUGAUGAAAACCAUUUCCAGGUAUUCCACGACAGAGUGGUUUUAAGACCUAAACAAGAAUUUCUGCCUAAAGUAGUCUCGAAUUUCCACAUUCUGCAGGAAGUUGUUAUCCCUUCCUUUUAUCCAUCUCCUUCUUCUCCAGAAGAAGUGAAACUUCAUCAGUUGGACGUCAGACAGUGUCUACUCAAAUACGUUGAAGUUUCAAAUCAAUUUCGAAAGUCUCAUCAGCUAUUUGUUCUGCCGAUAGGUCCCAGGAGAGGGGAAGCAGCAUCUACCUCCACCUUGAGACGCUGGAUCUCCAAUACUAUAAUCAAGGCUUAUCAAUUAAAAGACCUUACUCCUCCUAGUAAGAUAAAGUCUCACUCUACAAGGGCUUUGGCAACAUCUUGGGCAAAUUGGGCAGAAGUUCCAGCUGACGACAUCUGUAAGGCAGCUACCUGGUUUUCACCUCUUACGUUCAUAAAUCACAACAAACUGGAUUUGGCAUCAUCCUCUACGGCUUUUGGUAGAGGUGUUCUAUCCUCUGUUGAAUCAAUCUAAUUAAACUUAUUUCAGCAUUAUCUGGUUUAGAAUAUUUUUUUUUUCCCCCUCCCUAUGGUGAAGCUUGGGUAUUACCCAUAAGUGAAGCUGCCAUGAUUAGCCAGGGAUACAGAAAAUGUUAUCAUACUUACCGUAAUUUUCUUUUCCUGGCUAUUAUUCAUGGCAGCAUCAGCAACCCUCCCUUAAGUAUUUAUGAAGCUUUGGAACUCGACUGUGGGUUGGAAGGAGGAGGGACCUUUUAUACCCCAGUCGGGUCCAGAUUAAUUAAUUUUUCCUGUCCUGUACCUGAUUGGGCGGAGCUAACCCAUAAGUGAUGCUGCCAUGAAUAAUAGCCAGGAAAAGAAAAUUACGGUUUGAUAAAAUUUUCUGUAUUAAUUUUGUUGUAGCAUGACUUGUAGAUAUGAAGAGCAAGCCCCAAAAUGUACUAUUUAACAGAUUAGCACCCAGAAAAUUCGAAUUUUUACAAGUGCACUGUAAGCACACUAUUAGACGCUUCUAUUUGACUCUCAGAUAUGAAGUGCACCCCACUAAAAUACUAUUUAGCAGUUUAGCACCCAAAAAUUUUUACGUUUUAAAACUGCAAUGUGACAGCAGUAUUUGACGCUUCUAUUUGAUUUUCACAUAUGAAGUGCACCGCAGGCCGCAAAUGUACUAUUUAGCAGAUUAGCACCCAGGAAAUAAGAAUGUUUACCAUUGCGCUGUAAGCACACUAUUAGACGCUUCUAUUUGAGUCUCAGAUAUGAAGUGCAGUCUGCAAAUGUACUAUUUAGCAGAUUAACACCCAGAAAAUAAGAAUGUUUACAACUGCGCUGUAAGCACACUAUAAGACGCUUCGAUUUGACUCUCAGAUAUGAAGUGCACACCCCAAAAUGUACUAUUUUGCAGUUUAGCAGCAAAACAAUUAGAAUGUUUACAAUUGCGCAUUAACCGCAGUAUUAGACGCUUCUAUUUGACUCUCAGAUUUGAAGUGCACGCCCCAAAAUGUACUAUUUAGCAGUUUAGCACCAAAACUAUUAGAACGUUUACAAUUGCGCAUUAACCACAGUAUUAGACACUUCUAUUUGACUCUCAGAUAUAUAGAGUAGGCCCCAAAAUGUACUAUUUAGCAGAUUAACACCCAGAUAAUAAGAAUAUUUACCACUGCGCUGUAAGCACGCUAUUAGAUGCUUUGAUUUGACUCUCAGAUAUGAAGUGCACCACAGGCCCCAAAAUGUACAAUUUAGCAGAUUAGCAGCAAAACAAUUAGAAUGUUUACAAUUGCGCUGUAACCGCAGUAUUAGACGCUUGUAUUUGACUCUCAGAUAUGAAGAGCACGCCUCAAAAUGUACUAUUUAGCAGAAUAACACCCAGAAAAUAAGAAUGUUUACCACUGCGCUGUAAGCACACUAUUAGACGCUUCUAUUUGACUCUGAGAUAUGAAGUGCAGUCCGCAAAUGUACUAUAUAGCAGAUUAACACCCAGAAAAUAAGAAUGUUUACCACUGCGCUGUAAGCACACUGUUAGACGCUUCGAUUUACUCUCAUAUAUGAAGAGCACACCCAAAAUGUACUAUUUAGCAGUUUAGCACCAAAACAAUUAGAAUGUUUACAAUUGCGCAUUAACCGCAGUAUUAGACGCUUCUAUUUGACUCUCAGAUUUGAAGUGCACGCCCCAAAAUGUACUAUUUAGCAGUUUAUCAGCAAAACAAUUAGAAUGUUUACAAUUGCGCUGUAACUGCAGUAUUAGAUGCUUCUAUUUGACUCUCAGAUUUGAAGUGCACGCCCCAAAAUGUACUAUUUAGCAGUUUAGCACCAAAACUAUUAGAAUGUUUACAAUUGCGCUGUUACCACAGUAUUAGACACUUCUAUUUGACUCUCAGAUAUAUAGAGUAGGCCCCAAAAUGUACUAUUUAGCAGAUUAACACCCAGAUAAUAAGAAUAUUUACCACUGCGCUGUAAGCACACUAUUAGAUGCUUUGAUUUGACUCUCAGAUAUGAAGUGCACCACAGGCCCCAAAAUGUACUAUUUAGCAGAUUAGCAGCAAAACAAUUAGAAUGUUUACAAUUGCGCUGUAACCGCAGUAUUAGACGUUUGUAUUUGACUCUCAGAUAUGAAGAGCAGGCCCCAAAAUGUACUAUUUAGCAGAAUAACACCCAGAAAAUAAGAAUGUUUACCACUGCGCUGUAAGCACACUAUUAGACACUUCUAUUUGACUCUCAGAUAUGAAGUGCAGUCCGCAAAUCUACUAUAUAGCAGAUUAACACCCAGAAAAUAAGAAUGUUUACCACUGCGCUGUAAGCACACUGUUAGACGCUUCGAUUUACUCUCAUAUAUGAAGAGCACGCCCAAAAUGUACUAUUUAGCAGUUUAGCAGCAAAACAUUUAGAAUGUUUACAAUUGCGCUGUAACCGCAGUAUUUGACGCUUCUAUUUGACUCUCAGAUUUGAAGUGCACACCCCAAAAUUUACUAUUUAGCAGUUUAGCAGCAAAACAAUUAUAAUGUUUACAAUUGCGCUGUAACCGCAGUAUUAGACGUUUCUAUUUGACUCUCAGAUAUAUAGAGCAGGCCCCAAAAUGUAAUAUUUAGCAGAUUAACACCCAGAAAAUUAGAAUUUUUACAACUGCGCUGUAAGCACACUUUUAGACGCUUCGAUUUGACUCUCAGAAAUGAAGUGCACCGCAGGCCCCAAAAGGUACUAUUUAGCGGAUUAGCAGCAAAAUAAUUGGAAUGUAUACAAUUGCGCUGUAACCGCAGUAUUAGACGCUUCUAUUUGACUCUCAGAUAUGAAGAGCAGGCCCCAAAAUGUACUAUUUAGCAGAAUAACACCAAGAAAAUAAGAAUGUUUACCACUGCGCUGUAAGCGCACUAUUAGACGCUUCUAUUUGACUCUCAGAUAUGAAGUGCAGUCCGCAAAUGUACUAUUUAGCAGAAUAACACCAAGAAAAUAAGAAUGUUUACCACUGCGCUGUAAGCACACUAUUAGAUGCUUCUAUUUGACUCUCAGAUAUGAAGUGCACCCCACUAAAAUACUAUUUAGCAGUUUAGCACCAAAUAAUUUUAAGUUUUAAAACUGCAAUGUCACAGCAGUAUUUGACGCUUCUAUUUGACUCUCAGAUAUGAAGUGCACACCACUAAUGUACUUUUUAGCACCCAAAAAUUUGUACGUUUUAAAACUGCAAUGUGACAGCAGUAUUUGACGAUUCUAUUUGACUCUCAGAUAUGAAAUGAACCCCACUAAUAUACUAUCCCACUAAUGUACUAUUUAGCACCAAAACAAUUGACUUUUUAAAACUCAGAUGUAACCGCUGUAUUUGAAGCUUCUAUUUGACCCCUUAAGAUAUGAAGUGCACCCCACCCCACUAAUGUACUAGUUUGCAGAAUACUCUCCUAAGCAUUCUCUCCCUACACUAAUAAGACCGCACGUGCGUGCGGCGCUACGCGACUCCAGCUUACAUAUAGCGGCUGGGUCACAGCCAUCCUCCCACACUAUCAAACCUG
rnacentral:lncRNA from 1 species